rnacentral:lncRNA from 1 species
GGAGGAGUUAUGGAGAGAGGUUAUAUGGAGUUAUAUGGAGAGGGUAUAUAGAGUAAUAGCAGGAGUAAUAGGGAGAGGUUAUAUGGAGUAAUAGGAGGGGUUAUAUGGAGUAAUAUGAGGAGUUAUAGGGAGAGGGUAUAUAGAGUAAUAGCAGGAGUAAUAGGGAGAGGUUAUAUGGAGUAAUAGGAGGGGUUAUAUGUAGUGAUAGGAGUUAUUUGGAGAAAUUAUAUGGAGUAAUAGGAGGAGUUAUAUGGAGAGUUUAUAUGGAGUGAUGGUGGAGUUACAGAGAGAGGUUAUAUGGAGUAAUAGGAGGAAUUAUAGAGAGAGGUUAUAGCGCAUAAUCUGAGGAGAUAUAGGGAGAUGUUAUAUGGAGUAAUAGGAGGAGUUAUAGAGAGAGGUUCUAUGGAGUAAUAGGAGGAGUUAUAGAGAGAAGUUAUAUGGAGUAAUAGGAGGAGUUAUAGAGAGAGGUUAUAGCGAGUAAUUGGAGGAGGUAUAGGGAGAGAUUAUAUGGAGUAAUAGAAGGAGUUAUAGGGAGAGGUUAUAUGGAGUAAUAGGAAGAGUUAUAUGGAGAGGGUAUAUAGAGUAAUAACAGGAGUAAUAGGGAGAGGUUAUAUAGAGUAAUAGGAGGGUUUAUAUGGAGUAAUAUGAGGAGUUAUAGAGAGAGGUUAUAUGAAGUGAUAGGAGGAGUUAUUUGGAGAAAUAUGGAGUAAUAGGAGGAGUUAUAUGGAGAGUUUAUAUGGAGUGAUGGUGGAGUUACAGAGAGAGGUCAUUUGGAGUAAUAGGAGGAGUUAUAGAGAAAGGUUAUAGCAAGUAAUCGGAGGAGUUAUAGAGAGAGGUUAUAGCGAGUAAUCGGAGGAGAUAUAGGGAGAUGUUAUAUGGAGUAAUAGGAGGAGUUAUAGAGAGAGGUUAUAUGGAGUAAUAGGAUGAGUUAUAGAGAGAGGUUAUAUGGAGUAAUAGGAGGAGUUAUGGAGAUAGGUUAUAUGGAGUUAUAGGGAGAGAUUAUAAGGAGUAAUAGGAGGAGUUAUAGGGAGAGGCUAUAUGCAGUAAUAGGAGGAGUUAUAGGGAGAGGUUAUAUGGAGUUAUAGGGAGAGGGUAUAUAGAGUAAUAGGAGGAGUAAUAGAGAAAGGUUAUAUGGAGUAAUAGGAGGGGUUAUAUGGAGUUAAAUGAGGAGUUAUAGGGAGAGGUUAUAUGUAGUGAUAGGAGGAGUUAUUUGGAGAAAUUAUAUGGAGUAAUAGGAGGAGUUAUAUUGAGAGUUUAUAUGGAGUAAUAGGAGGAGUUAUAGAGAGGUUAUAUGGAGUAAUAGGAGGAGUUAUAGAGAGAGGUUAUAUGGAGUAAUAGGAGGAGUUAUGGAGAGAGGUUAUAUGGAGUUAUAGGGAGAGAUUAUAUGGAGUAAUAGGAGGACUUAUAGGGAAAGGAUAUAUGGAGUAAUAGGAGGAGGUAUAGGGAAAGGUUAUAUGGAGUAAUAGGAGGAGUUAUAGGGAGAGGUUAUAUGGAGUAAUAGGAGUGUCGGCUGUGGUCUGGUUGGUGCAUGGGAUGAGCACUAAAUCCCGUACCUGCACCUUUGCAUAUGAUGUUGGAGUUUCUCACAUGCAUGUUUGAGUCAGGGAAGGCAUAUCGCACCAUCAAUUUGUUCCGUUCAGCUAUUUCGGCGGGACAUCG